rnacentral:rRNA from 1 species
CGACGGAGGAGAGUCAAGAGGUGUGGGUGUGUGAAGUGUAUGGAAUAGGGAAGGUGACAGAGUGGUGGCGAGAGUCCCUUUUUCGGCGGCGGUGGCAGGAGCCACGAGGACCGUCAAUCCCGCUUCCUCAGGGAUCCGUACGACGACGACGCGGUUGCGGAGGCCGUAGGCGUGGCAGCACCCGUUGCGGUUUAUGUUGCGGCCACGGCGUAUAUGCGCGCGCGUGGCCAACGGCGGAGCCGGAGCCACGCGGGCCGGCGCCUCCUCCCCCUCCUCGUCCUCGUCACCGCGUCCUCGGCUGUUGCAUCUGCCUCCCUCUCCUCAUCGCGCUCCCCGCGUCUGCCUCCCCAGCGGCCCCUGCAAACCGCACGGUGGUGUGUUGCCAGGGCCCGGCGGCGCCCCUCCGUCUCUUCGCUGUGCCCUCCAAACACGACCGACGGGACGAAGAGGAACAAUGACUACCUAAAAGACUACACGUCUAUCGAUCAAACGCGGGUAGUGACGAUUUUUAAACUUGCUUAGAACAAGAAGCAGCCUUUAGGUUAACUUAAAGGUAGAGCAAGACUUAACUCAAGACUAACAGCCCACUGUCUCCACUCUCCUAUCGGCUUGUUGCUCGAGCGUCAGUGUCCCAGUGAUACGCUCUCGUGUAUAGGAGCGUACCGUCCAAUGUACAUCGGGAUAUUUUAGUUUAAGUCGGGGUACAAUGGACUAAAAGACACUUACCUAAAAUGACGAAAAGUCAAAACCUGGGACACAUUGAACAACAUAAAGACCUCGUCACGUCGCUCCUACUCCGAUACUUCAUGCAGGUUAUGAAUUGGAUGUCGGUAGAUUAUACGUUUAAAUUAUAUCACCUUUUACUUUUUGUUUUUUUCAUAUUCUUCUGGGUUAAGGAGAAAAUACACGUGGAACACACGCAUCUGUGACCUGAUGUUAACAUCGUUGUUUCUCAUAUAGUUAAAUAGUCCAUUAUCUUUAUCACGAUGAAAAAACCUACGUCAGUGUUUCUCUUCUGAAAAAAAACACUAAUCUCUCCCAUGAAAGAAUGAACGACUAGUGACUUACGCACUCACUAGUAAUAAUACAACCUAACCAUCUACAACAAACUACGGUAUUUUUCCGAGACAUGGACUUAGUUGAUAUCUCACGGGUUUCUUUCUUCUUUAUUUGUGAAACUAUUAAAUCGUGGUAAUUUUUUAGCUACUUGAUUGGAAAAAAAUUUCUGAGAAGACCCUAUACAUCCAGCUGCUAACAUGACUCAACCCCCAAGAGUUUGUCAAACUGUAAACCCACUCACAGUAAACAGAACUUUAAGCAACGUAGACCAUACGUAGUAAAGACACGUUGGGUAACCUGAGUAGUAGAAGUAUUUAUAAGAGAAAAAGCAGCUCCUACAGACAACUUUACGUACCUUAAACCAUGACGUGGUGGACGCGUACAAUACAAGACGUCAACACACUGACGGUUAACAAGCUAUCGACCGUACACACUGUGUUACAAUGACGGUAACUCCUGCCGUUGUUAUACGAAUAAAACGAACGCCCAAACUGCAACAGCGAAAUUAUAAAGGAGAGAUAAAACACGUAUGAUGAAGUAAAGGUAGGCUAAGAAUUAGAGUAAUACCAGACUUAUAUACUUCUUAUCUAGUAAUAUAUCAUUAUGUUGACCCGGCAUAUAGUACUUCAACUAGUAGCAAUGGAACACUAUGUCGGUUGACACACACAUGAGACAAUAAAUCCGGUAACUAGAACCGUCGCCGUUAAAAAAAAAGACAAACAUCCGGAGUGCGGCAGAGAAUAAUUAGAGUAGGGAUAAAACACGUAUAACGAGAGAUAGGUAGGCGGAAAAAUAAAGAAAUCCCAGACGUUUAGUACUGUGUUAAGUCGUCAACUCGUUGUUAGCUCACUAACCCAAUACUAGUAAUGGACAACCCUCACCAUCCCCGAUAUGCUUCGGCAAGUUGGGAUUUUCGUUCUCCUAGUUAGUUUACCUAGUGUGACCGGGUACAACCGUUUAUUCGUACGUGGACACCUCGUCAAGUAGCCGCAACACUGCAGCAGCAUGUGCGUCACGCCGCUACCGCGCCCUGUCAGAACCCACCACCGCCGUACAUUUUCGGAGUACUUCAAGUCUGUUAGACCCGCUGUAGAAACAACCACUUCUCGAGCCUGCACUUACCGCGUCCCGUCCAGUCGAGCAGCGUGGGCAGCAGCCCAGGUAGCAGCCGACGCGUCCCGUCGCUACCGUGUCCAGUUGGACCUGCGGACCUACCGUUGUUUCAAGUCUGUCAGACCCACCAUGGACAUAACUGCUUCUCGAGCAGCAACGCCGGCAGUAGACCACGGAACGGCAGACGCGUCCCGUCGCUACCGCGUCCAUUUGGACCUGCAGACCUACUGUUAUCUCAAGUCGAUCAGACCCGCGACGUGGACACAGCGGCUUCUCGAACAGCAACGGCAGCAC